UAGGGAAUAUUGGGCAAUGGGCGCAAGCCUGACCCAGCCAUGCCGCGUGCAGGAAGAAUGCCCUCUGGGUUGUAAACUGCUUUUGGGAGGGGACAAAAAGCCAAUGCGUUGGUAAUUGAGUGUACCUCCAGAAUAAGCACCGGCUAACUCCGUGCCAGCAGCCGCGGUAAUACGGAGGGUGCAAGCGUUGUCCGGAUUUAUUGGGUUUAAAGGGUGCGUAGGCGGCCAAAUAAGUCGGAGGUGAAACCCA
rnacentral:rRNA from 1 species